rnacentral:misc_RNA from 1 species
CACACGUGGCUCGUGUAACGUAAAAUUGACACUUGGACUGUAAGAGAAGAGAAGGCUGAGUCGUAACCCAACUAUUAAUUUUCUUUUAUCGAACUUUCUUAUCAAUCUAGCACUUGCAAGAAUAGAAUGACACUGAACCGGAGAAAGAGGCUGUACAAGAACAGGAACUAGAACAAGAACUGCCUGAACUGGCUGAAGUCUCGGUUUAUAUGCGUUUUGGUUUGAGGAUGUUGAGGGGCUCGGUGUAGGUUAUGAUGUGGAAAAGUGUCCGAAGGUCAGUGGUCGAUAUCCUAUCUUUGAUCUGGACUAAGGUACGUCACAGUCUUGGUGUAGGCUAUGAUGAUAAGGUGGUGAUGUGUCCAAAGGAGUCCGAAGCUCGGGGGUCGAUGUCUUAUCUCUGAUGUAAGUUGAGAUGUGAUUGAUGUCACACUCGACUUGUUCUCUAGCUCGUGUGCAGCUACGAACCUCUUUUGGGAUCUUAGACUUAAGAAACUCAUAUGUUCGACGUAAUAAAAGUCUCGUCAAUUCUAU